UGGGGAAUUGUUCGCAAUGGGCGCAAGCCUGACGACGCAACGCCGCGUGGAGGAUGAAGAUCUUCGGGUCGUAAACUCCUUUCGAUCGGGAAGAACGGCUUCCGGGUGAACAAUCCGGAAGAGUGACGGUACCGAGAGAAGAAGCCCCGGCUAACUCCGUGCCAGCAGCCGCGGUAAUACGGGGGGGGCAAGCGUUGUUCGGAAUUACUGGGCGUAAAGGGCUCGUAGGCGGCCAACUAAGUCGGAUGUGAAAUCCCCAAGCUUAACUUGGGAACUGCAUCCGAUACUGGAUGGCUUGAAUUCGGGAGAGGGAUGCAGAAUUCCAGGUGUAGCGGUGAAAUGCGUAGAUAUCUGGAGGAAUACCGGUGGCGAAGGCGGCAUCCUGGACCGACAUUGACGCUGAUGAGCGAAAGCUAGGGGAGCAAACGG
rnacentral:rRNA from 1 species